rnacentral:rRNA from 1 species
UACGUAGGUGGCAAGCGUUGUCCGGAUUUAUUGGGUUUAAAGGGUGCGUAGGUGGCCCUGUAAGUCAGUGGUGAAAUAUCUCAGCUUAACUGAGAGGGUGCCAUUGAUACUGCAGGGCUUGAGUACAGAUGAGGUAGGCGGAAUUGACGGUGUAGCGGUGAAAUGCAUAGAUAUCGUCAAGAACACCGAUAGCGAAGGCAGCUUACCAAGUUGUAACUGACACUGAGGCACGAAAGUGUGGGGAUCAAACAGG